UGUUAUUCAUUAGUUAGUUAUUAUUAGUGAUCUAUUUUAUAAGAGUAUAUAAUUUUGCAUAGCAAAAAUUUGAGAAUAAACUCUGUAUUUGAUGUUUUUUAACAUCAAAACGGCGUCGUUGUGCAUCGUUCUUGUAGUUUAUAGUUAAUGAUGAUGAUGAUACAUUCAUACUGAGAGCGUUGUUAAAACGGCGACGUUUUACGAAAAGGGAAAAAAAAAAAACAAUGCUGCGAGUCUUCUUCUUCUUCGCAAACUCUUCACUCUCUUCUAAUCGCAGAGAGAUCACAGAGAGAAGAGAACGAAUUAGAGCAAUAAGCGAUUUCAGAGAAGAAAGGUUCAGAGAAGAAAGGCCAGUUAGCCCUGUCUGGAGGUAAACCUGCUGAGAAAGUGUCUAUGAUUCAUGAGUCUACGAUGGUCCAGACUAACUGGCCUUUCUCGGGAUACGGAUUCAGGAAGAACAAAUCAUCUCAUAUCCGCUCAGACAUGCUCGACUCUGUUAUACUGGAUGCUUCUUUGAUGGAGAGGGUAAAGAACUUAGCUCAUACGACAGCAAAGACAAAGGACACUCGAGCUCCAUUCCGAAACAUGCUUUUGACUGGACCUCCUGGAACCGGGAAGUCACUUGUUGCUACAGAAAUCGCAAGAAAAUCUGGUAUUGAAUUGUUCAAUUCAAAUUCAAUUGAACAGCUCUGUAUUGUAAUUUGGAAAGGUUAGAGAGGAAAUCGCGCGCGUGGAUCUCACUCGCGGCGAUUUUUCUCUCUCAAACUUUCUACCUCUUCUGAUCACAAUCUCUUGCGCCGCGGUCGGGUUCUCCGUCGAUUCCGGCGACGAUGAGGACCCAGAGGCUCAUGGUUCUUCAUCUGUAACCUGCUACAGCUAUCAUGCAAAUCAAUCUGGCCAGAAUCAAGGGAGCAGUGGAGGAGAGAAGCUUCUGCUCGACAAUGACGGUAAGAGCUCUACCGGCGUUGUAGCGAUGCGGAGUGGAAGACGGAGAUCUACGGUGAGGAACGAAAGAGGCAAGCAGUUAGAUUUGGGGACCGGAGAUUAUGGGUUUAACGGGAUCUUUGUCGAUGGGGGAGGUAGACUCCGAUCCGGCAAAACUAAGCCACCGUCGACGGUCUCUUUUUCUACUCCCUACUGUUUCUCUCUCUCAUGACCGAGCAAAGAUCUCCUCGACAAAGUCAAGAUCGGAUCUCUUCCUCCUUCUCAAUACGGCUCUACGGUAGCGGGAUGGCAACGGAUCUUGGAUCACCAUCUCGUUCGGCUUGCGUCGUCCAGGCUCGCCGGAGGUCCUGUUCCGGCGAGAAUCUGCAGAUUUGGACGGCGGCUUCUAUAAAGUUCUUUGAUAGAAGAUUAGGGUUUCUUCUCAUGACCGGUUUAGUUCGGUUUGUGAAUCCGAGCCGGUUUUCGGUUUUUUGGUUGGUUUGUUAAUGGUUUGUUGUUUGUGGGUUGGGCCUUAGGGAUUUUGAAUGGGCCUAUAUCUGGAAAUAGCUCAUUGGGCACUUAUUUAUAAAAAUUGCAAACCUUUUAUCAAAA